rnacentral:rRNA from 1 species
CCUACGGGAGGCAGCAGUGAGGAAUAUUGGUCAAUGGCCGCAGGGCUGAACCAGCCAAGUCGCGUGAGGGAUGACGGUCCUAUGGAUUGUAAACCUCUUUUGUCAGGGAGCAAAGGGCGCCACGUGUGGCGCUUUGCGAGUACCUGAAGAAAAGGCAUCGGCUAACUCCGUGCCAGCAGCCGCGGUAAUGCGGAGGAUGCGAGCGUUAUCCGGAUUUAUUGGGUUUAAAGGGUGCGCAGGCGGAAUGUCAAGUCAGCGGUAAAAUUUCGGGGCUCAACCCCGUCGUGCCGUUGAAACUGGCGUUCUUGAGUGAGCGAGAAGUAUGCGGAAUGCGUGGUGUAGCGGUGAAAUGCAUAGAUAUCACGCAGAACUCCGAUUGCGAAGGCAGCAUACCGGCGCUCAACUGACGCUCAUGCACGAAAGCGUGGGUAUCGAACAGGAUUAGAUACCCGAGUAGUC